AAUAUUGCGCAAUGGAGGGAACUCUGACGCAGCGACGCCGCGUGAGCGAUGAAGGUCUUCGGAUCGUAAAGCUCUGUCCUUGGGGACGAAGGUCUUCGGACUUGACGGUACCUAAGGAGGAAGCCCCGGCUAACUACGUGCCAGCAGCCGCGGCAAUACGUAGGGGGCAAGCGUUGUCCGGAAUUACUGGGCGUAAAGGGUGCGUAGGCGGCCUAAUAAGUCAGAUGUGAAAUACCGAGGCUCAACCUCGGAGGUGCAUUUGAAACUGUUGGGCUUGAGUGCAGGAGAGGAAAGUGGAAUUCCUAGUGUAGCGGUGAAAUGCGUAGAGAUUAGGAGGAACACCAAUGGCGAAGGCGACUUUCUGGACUGUAACUGACGCUGAGGCACGAAAGCGUGGGGAGCAAAC
rnacentral:rRNA from 1 species